rnacentral:rRNA from 1 species
AUUGAACGCUGGCGGCAUGCCUUACACAUGCAAGUCGAACGGUAACAGGUCUUCGGAUGCUGACGAGUGGCGAACGGGUGAGUAAUACAUCGGAACGUGCCCGAUCGUGGGGGAUAACGAAGCGAAAGCUUUGCUAAUACCGCAUAAGAUCUACGGAUGAAAGCAGGGGACCGCAAGGCCUUGCGCGAACGGAGCGGCCGAUGGCAGAUUAGGUAGGUGGUGGGAUAAAAGCUUACCAAGCCGACGAGCUGUAGCUGGUCUGAGAGGACGACCAGCCGCACUGGGACUGAGACACGGCCCAGACUCCUACGGUAGGCAGCAGUGGGGAAUUUUGGACAAUGGGCGCAAGCCUGAUCCAGCCAUGCCGCGUGCAGGAUGAAGGCCUUCGGGUUGUAAACUGCUUUUGUACGGAACGAAAAGACUCUGGUUAAUACCUGGGGUCCAUGACGGUACCGUAAGAAUAAGCACCGGCUAACUACGUGCCAGCCGCCGCAGUAAAAC